GCCAGGCGUGGUGGUGCGUGCCUGUAAUCCCAGCUACUCCGGAGGCUGAGGCAGGGGAAUCACUUGAACCUGGGAGGCAGAGAUUGCAGUGAGCCGAGAGAUCACGCCACUGCACUCCAGCCUGGCAACAGAGGGAGACUCCAUCUCAAAAAAAAAAAAGAAGCUUAGGUUACUGAUUUCUGAUCUUUCUUCUUUUCUAUUUAUUUAUUUUUGAGGUGGAGUCUCACUCUUGUCGCCCAGGUUGGAGUGCAGUGGCGCAAUCUGGGCUCACUGCAACCUCUGCCUCCUGGGUUCAAGGGAGUCUCCUGCCUCAG
rnacentral:SRP_RNA from 1 species